rnacentral:rRNA from 1 species
GUGGGGAAUCUUGCGCAAUGGGCGAAAGCCUGACGCAGCCAUGCCGCGUGAAUGAUGAAGGUCUUAGGAUUGUAAAAUUCUUUCACCGGGGACGAUAAUGACGGUACCCGGAGAAGAAGCUCCGGCUAACUUCGUGCCAGCAGCCGCGGUAAUACGAAGGGGGCUAGCGUUGCUCGGAAUUACUGGGCGUAAAGGGCGCGUAGGCGGACAGCUUAGUCAGAGGUGAAAGCCCAGGGCUCAACCUUGGAAUUGCCUUUGAUACUGGCUGUCUUGAGUUUGGGAGAGGUGAGUGGAACUCCGAGUGUAGAGGUGAAAUUCGUAGAUAUUCGGAAGAACACCAGUGGCGAAGGCGACACACUGGCUCAUUACUGACGCUGAGGCGCGAAAGCGUGGGGAGCAAACAGGAUUAGAUACCCCUGUAGUCC